rnacentral:rRNA from 1 species
ACUCAAAUGAAUAGACGGGGGCCCGCACAAGCAGCGGAGCGUGUGGUUUAAUUCGAGGCUACACGAAGCACCUUACCUGGACUUGACAUGCACGCCAACGAGGGUGAAAGCCUGAGGGCCGCAAGGGGCGUGCACCGGUGCUGCAUGGCUGUCGUCAGCUCGUGCCGUGAGGUGUUAGGUUAAGUCCUGUAACGAGCGCAACCCCCAGGAGCAGUUACACGUUGUCUGCUCCGACUGCCCGCGCCAAGCGGGAGGAAGGUGGGGAUGAUGUCAAGUCAGCAUGGCCUGUAUGUCCAGGGCUACACACACGCUACAAUGGUCGGUACAAUGGGUCGCCAAGCCGCAAGGCGGAGCCAAUCCAGACAAAGCCGAUCUCAGUUCGGAUUGUGGGCUGCAACCCGCCCACAUGAAGUCGGAGUUGCUAGUAACCGCGCGUCAGCCAUAGUGCGGUGAAUACGUUCCCGGGCCUUGUACACACCGCCCGU